AGUGAACGCUGGCGGUAGGCCUAACACAUGCAAGUCGAACGGCAGCACAGUAAGAGCUUGCUCUUACGGGUGGCGAGUGGCGGACGGGUGAGGAAUACAUCGGAAUCUACUUUUUCGUGGGGGAUAACGUAGGGAAACUUACGCUAAUACCGCAUACGACCUACGGGUGAAAGCAGGGGAUCUUCGGACCUUGCGCGAUUGAAUGAGCCGAUGUCGGAUUAGCUAGUUGGCGGGGUAAAGGCCCACCAAGGCGACGAUCCGUAGCUGGUCUGAGAGGAUGACCGGCACCACUGAACUUGGAAAACGUCCCGGCUCCUAAGGGAAGCCACCGUGGGGAAUAAUGGGACAAGGGGGGCAACCUUGACCCACCCAUCCGGGUGGGUUGAAGAGGCCUUCGGGUUGCAAAGCCCUUUUGUUGGGAAAGAAAAGCAGCAGGUUAAUACCCCGCUGUUCUGACGGUACCCAAAGAAUAAGCACCGGCUAACUUCGUG
rnacentral:rRNA from 1 species